rnacentral:rRNA from 1 species
UGGGGGAUAUUGCACAAUGGGGGGAACCCUGAUGCAGCGACGCCGCGUGGGUGAAGAAGUAUUUCGGUAUGUAAAGCCCUAUCAGCAGGGAAGAAAGAAGACGGUACCUGAGUAAGAAGCCCCGGCUAACUACGUGCCAGCAGCCGCGGUAAUACGUAGGGGGCAAGCGUUAUCCGGAUUUACUGGGCGUAAAGGGAGCGUAGACGGCGGAGCAAGUCCGGAGUGAAAGCCCAAGGCUCAACCAUGGGACUGCUCUGGAAACUGUUUGGCUGGAGAACGGGAGGGGCAGGCGGAAUUCCUGGUGUAGCGGUGAAAUGCGUAGAUAUCAGGAGGAACACCGGCGGCGAAGGCGGCCUGCUGGACCGUGACUGACGUUGAGGCUCGAAAGCGUGGGGAGCAAACAGG